rnacentral:lncRNA from 1 species
GUCAGUUGGAAAUUUUAUCAAAAUGUAACUGUGAAAACAGUCACUAGUGUGAAUCAAUGCUCUCUACAAAGAACUUACACCCAGAAAUGGAACUCUUGAAGUCCUUUGGGUCAAUCUCUGGAGUUACAGUGUGACAGAAUGCAUGAGGAUCAGAUGUGGGGAAACAAAGAAGAAUUAUAUACAAUUCCUGAUCUUAAGACAUUUAGUGGCAUUGGAAGACGGACAAUUACAAGUUUAAAUGACUGACGUCGUAAAGUUACAUACACAGUGCACAGGCAAGAUAGCAGAAAAGAUGUCUUAGUUGAGGUUCUACUGAAGCAGACCCUGAGAUUCAAAUGCAAGUAGUGCUUUUGAAUUCUACUACUAAGACCCACAGAAUGAGAUUCAUUUUCUCUGAGAACUGGACAUUUGUCUAAUCAGGAGCCUUAGAAGUCUUACACUGCCAUGUGGAUUUAAGGAUAAAGGAGACCAAUUCAAACACAGAAGAGACCGUAUACCAAUGGAGAAGGAGAAACAAAGGAUGGAGAGAAAGUUUCGGUGACCUUUGUACCCCUGGUUCCAGAUCCUUCUGGUAGCAUUCAUACUCUUAAGCCUAAGUGAUUUUUGGGAAGCCUUAUAAUAAAGUGCCAUUUUCUGCUUAGGCUAAUUAGAAAUGGUUUCUGCAAUUAAAAAAAAUAUCCUAAAUAACUUGCAAUGGGCAUCUGUUGCUUACUCCUCAGAAUUCUCCCUUGACUUCCACCCGCCUGCCUUCCCCUCUUCUACCAGCAUCCAGCUAUUUCUUUUGGGAAACUUCUUUAACAUUCUUACCCAUUUUAGGCCUGACUUCACCUUCAGGACCAGGGAGGGUCCUCAUUGCCCAUCUUCAAAGCCCCUUACUCUUUACUUAUAGUAAUUGGUUUAAGAGUGGGCCUGUGACUGUCUCCCUCCCUUUCUUCUUAACUGGAUGAGGUAAGAUGUCAAGUAAGAGAUUUUGGAAAAAUACUCCCGUUCUCUUUUGAAAGAGUGACUAGGAGAAACUUUCUCAUUUCUUACAGAAAAUGUGGCAUGAGGACGUUAGGUCUGGAACUCCUGCAGGUCUUUCUUUUGGAAAGGAAGCUAGAAAGAGGACAAAGCUGACUCAGAAGGAGGGCGGAGCUGAGAGCACAUGGAGAAACAGACAUGGUGGACUUCUGGAAGUCAACAUUGUUUCUGUACAUCUAUUUUUUCCUUUAUUUCUUUUUGUUUGUUUGUUUAAGAAAUUUGAAUCAGAUUUACUCUUAUUUCUAAUCAAAAGCAUCAUAACCAACAUAAUUUUUUUUUUUCUAACAUCUUGGGGCCUAAAAUCCCUCUGGCUUAUGGACUCUGGGUUUAUAAAUUUAAUCACCUCUGGGCUGCUCUUUGUGAAAUGUUGGUCUUCUAGUGUUGCUCUUACUUACACAGCACAGUGAGACUCCAUUUGACAGGUCACGAUUACAAAUGAGGAACAGAAUGUUAGAGAUGAGGGGAGAGAAUGAGAUGUGCUCUUUUGAUCAGGGAUAUCCUAAUACAGUGUUCUGUACUCAGGAAUUGGAGUGACCUUAGAAACGUUAGUUUUUAGGACACUAUUUUUUUGUGAAUACUUUUGACUAAUAUUUUUAGAUUUUUAGGCUUUCAUUAAGGAUUGGAAAGC